UGGUCAAGCCACCGGUCUCUGUUAUGAUGACAGACGGCGGCAAAGUGUGGCUCCCCAUAGAGUCACACAGAGUCUAUCGCCUCUUUAUAACUUUAUUCUGAGCUGAACACAUCAACAUCGGUGCAAUUCAAACACCAUUUAUGUAUCUCAACGCGAAAACAAACACCUCUCUAAGUCCGUUCGUCAUCGGAACACUUCCUCUAAACUAAACAGACCUCGAGAUGCUUUCAUGGACAUCCCGAACAUCACUCCUUACUGGCGAGUAGAAUCUCAUUUUCUUCGUUGAUAUUCUUGUUUAAAUCACAUUACAUGUAAACUGGAAAUGCCAGUAUAUUUUAAAACACUUUAAACAUUUGUACAAAUACUGUUUUACAAGUGUCCGUUCUCUCACAAUUAAACGCCGCUGCCGUUUACGACACUGCACCUGAAUGCACCAGGGCAACCGCACAGGUGUCAGAGAUGUCGUAACAUUUGAUGUUCAACUAACAAUAAACGAACCAUCCAUCCAUUCAUUUUCGACGCCGCUUAUCCUCACUGGGGUGGUGUGGGUAUGCUGGAGCCUAUCCCAGCUGUCUUCAGCUCUAAACAAAUGGACACCACAGGGCUACUCCAUGGACUCCAAGGUGUUUGACUCAACAUAAAAAAAAGGUCCCUGAGUUCUGGUUGUGGGCGGUACCAGUAGGCGGACCUGUUCCCAUUUUUCUCAUCAGUUUCUGUGGCCGGUAAUCGCUCACCUGUGAUCAAGACCAAGCACACCAGAAGCCCCACAAAGGUCUGCACACUGACCCCCAUGGACAGAGCGAGGGCCUCCACCCCGCCGGUGGGGCAGUGCCCGCCAGGCUGGCAGCUGCACACGCUGAUAGUGAGCGUGGUGGUGCUGGAGAGCGCCGGCGAUCCACCGUCCGACACCACCACAGGGAGGAGAUAACGGCUGCGGUCCUUGCGGGUGAACGUGCUCCUGCGUGCUACGAUGCCGGCCGUGUUGUCUAGUAGCGGUGAGAAUGGGCGGGUACGGGGAAGCAAGCACUUCUUAGUCAGUGUUCUUAAAAAAAACAUGCGCAUGAGUGCUGGUAUUUUUAGUGGAAGGCGAAAAAAAAAAAAGCUUGAAGUCGUGAAUAUACAGGACACAUUUCAAAAAAGCUCAGUGAAAGAAAUUAAAUAUGCAGCAUGUGGUGUAUCUGUUUCAGUACCGGCUGGGGCUUUAGGAAUAAAAGCACAUGGAUGAAGGAGUUGAGCUCCGACAUUCAUUUCCUGCACAACUUCUUGGUGCUCGACGCUCGUCUGAUUACUUUUAAUCAAGCUUUCACGCUCAUUAAUACCAGUAGAGAUGUUAAAUAAUACUACCAAGUAUGAAUAAUUCACUUAUUUCAUGCUUAUGUUUCCUACACUGUACUGUACACAAUGAACUCAUCAGCCAUUAAUGCUGACCGAGUAGAUUUCUCUAAAUCGGUCUCAAACACACGGCCCGCGGGCCAAAUGUGGCCCGCAGGACACUAGUUUGAGGCCCCCGCCUCGAUAUGAAAGUUUAACUUUAGUGCGGCCCGCGCAAGUUUGAUAUGUAUCAUGUAGCCAGAAAAAAUUAUUACGUUUGAUUACUGUUCAUGUUAAAGGUUAAAUAACUGUUAAUAGUUGUCCUCCCUAUCCGUA